UACGUAGGGUGCGAGCGUUGUCCGGAAUUAUUGGGCGUAAAGAGCUCGUAGGCGGUGUGUCACGUCGGCCGUGAAAACCUGCAGCUUAACUGUGGGCGUGCGGUCGAUACGGGCAUCACUGGAGUUCGGCAGGGGAGACUGGAAUUCCUGGUGUAGCGGUGAAAUGCGCAGAUAUCAGGAGGAACACCGGUGGCGAAGGCGGGUCUCUAGGCCGAUACUGACGCUGAGGAGCGAAAGCGUGGGGAGCAAUCCGG
rnacentral:rRNA from 1 species